rnacentral:lncRNA from 1 species
AUGGGAGCACCACUGCUCCUCUUAGCCCUGACCCUAUUCCCAGUUGCAGCUGCAGAAAGCCUGGAACCUCACUACAUGGUGGUGUUCCCUGCUAUCAUUCAGCAGUCCCACGAGGAGAAGCUCUACAUUCACCUCAGCUCCCUAACUGAGGCUGUCCAUCUGGCCAUCACCUUGCAGACAGAAACCCAGAAUCACACCCUGGUGGAGCAGGAUGUGGAGAAGCCAGGCACUUUUCAGAGUAUCACCUUCCAGGUGCCAGACCUCAUGUUAAUCCCCAUGAAAAGAGAUUAUUCCGGGACACAGUCAGAGGAGGUGGCUUUUCUGCAUGUCCUUAUCCACAGUGGAGACAAUGUGCUCCUUGAGGGUCACAAGAAAGUUCUGGUUAAGCCCCAGAAGAAUAUAAUUCUGAUAGAGACAGACAAGGGCUUAUACAAACCUGGAGAAACAGGUAAGGCAAGAAGCUGACAUAUGGAAAUGGGGAGGGAAGGGUCAAGACAGCAGCCACACCUGGAGGGAAGAUUUCACCAAGUGCAGCAAGCUAAGGUUGUUGGGGAUGGAAGGAAGCAAAUCUCUAUUAUCCAGUGUUUCUAGGAACAGUCUGAGCCAGAAUGUUCCCCUCCAAGGUGUGCUACACCAAGUUCCCAGCCUGCUGCCCCUGGGUGCUGUUUUGGUGUCAUAUCUCUAGUGAGACCUAAAGAGAAAGCCAGGACUCUGCAGGACAAUGGACAGCCUUGAAGGCUGUUGUUCAUAUUUGAGUAAAAGCUAGAGUGUCAGUUCCAAGCUGUAGAAUUAUAGAGUCCUCACAAUCUUCACCAUAUGAGUGGACUGCAGACAGACCUCACUAUAGACAACCCCAGUGUUUAACUUUGUAACCUGUCUAGGUAAAGGCACUGUGUUUCUGCAGCACACAGCUGUUUAUAGGCCUCCCUGGGGUGAGAGAUGCUGGGGAGGGCUGUUUGGGAAAAGACCUGAGUACCUCUGAGGUAAACAGAGAGGCAUGAAUACUGGGGCAUAGGAAAGAAGAAGCAUGUUUGUGCAAGGACAUGUUGCAGCCAGACUGCUUUACUAUGUUUUUCUUUUUAUCUACAGUGAAAUUUCGAAUUGUGAACCUUGAUGAGAACCUUAAGGUCAUCAAAAAUGAGGUGAGUGUCACCUUGUGCCUUUCUAGAAGUAGGAGCUUCAGUGUGAGAUACAUUGAGAGUCUGAUGAGAAAGAUAUCUCCCUUCAUGCCUGCUAAACCAUAAGAAUAAAUUAUCUUAGGAGGAAACCA